rnacentral:rRNA from 1 species
AUGGCCGACGUCGGCAUCCUCCGGCUCGAGGACUACACGUAUUGGCGCAUGCAUGCGGUGAUGAACGCACUAUUGGGCAUAAAAGCGGAGCCAUGGCCCGGGUACCACGUCGGCAUGGAGUUGCGCCUGCCAGAGCCGGUGCACGUGCAGUGCGCGGACGAAGAUGAAGCCGCCGACGGCGACUGCGAGCGGCCGGCGAAGCGGAGGAAGAUCGUCACGGAGGAGGGCGCCGCGCAGAAGUGCCCCAUCUGUCUCGACCCGCUGGAGAGCGACGCCGCCGCGUGGCCCGGGUGCUCCUCGCCCCACGUCUUCCAUGGCGCGUGCCUUGAGGGGACGCUCAAGGAGAGCCAGAAGUGCCCCAUCUGCAGGCGCAGGCUGUCGGCCCAGGAUGAAGAAGUCAGGGCUGAAGCCUAG